CGUGUUCACGGCGGACCUUGAUUUAAUGACAAACAAUUAAGGCACGCGGUGAAUGCCAA
rnacentral:pre_miRNA from 1 species